rnacentral:lncRNA from 1 species
AAGGGUGUUGCCAUCUAGAUCUUUGGCUAAGACGGUUAGGUCUUUCAAGAAAUACACAGAGCACCUGCUCUGAUACCACUUGUUGCCCAGAGAUGGUCACCCAAGAGGGGGGUGAAUUGGGUGUUUUAAAACUUUUCGCCUAAUUAAAAAUAAAACACACAAAUAUAUGCACUAAAGUAAAGAAGGAGGAAUGAAAAAAGGUCAAUCGCAAACACAAGGUUUUAUAGUGGUUCGGAGCUUCCACUGCUCCUACAUCCACUCCCCAAAUCACCUUUGGGAAUUUCUACUAUAAUCCAAGAUUACAGUACGGUAGUUUUGCGAGUUCACUACCUAACUCGUUGUUUUACACCGGGCUCACAACAAACCCUAACACCCCCAAUUUCACUUAGGCUUGGGACGCCUUUUCCUUGUUCCACGUCCCUUGACUGGAACAAGCACCACAAUGAAAGAGUUUACACAGAAAAGAAAAGCUCUAGAAAAGCAAAUAUGGCAAUGAUGAACAAUAAACCCGGAAGAGCUUGAAAUCACUUGGGAAGCUUGAAAGCACCACUUUGAUUUCUUCACUUGAAUGCACUCACUCUCUUGAACUUCUCUCUCUUGCUUCUCUCUUAAAUGAUCUAGCUUUUUGGAUUGGUGAAAAGUUGUUUUGAAGCACUUAAGAGCUCCCUUUUAUAGCCCAAAAAGCAAAUAUAGCCGUUAGAGAUAAAGUAAAAGAGAUUUGAAAUUCAAACCAAACCUGUAAAAGUUGUCAGUCGCGUCCCAGGCGUUCCGGGGACGUCUCCGCUUCAA